AUGGGGAAACCCAGUGUGUUUCGACACACUAUCAUUAACUGAAUCCAUAGGUUAAUGAGGCGAACCGGGGGAACUGAAACAUCUAAGUACCCCGAGGAAAAGAAAUCAACCGAGAUUCCCCCAGUAGCGGCGAGCGAACGGGGAGGAGCCCAGAGCCUGAAUCAGUGUGUGUGUUAGUGGAAGCGUCUGGAAAGGCGCGCGAUACAGGGUGACAGCCCCGUACACAAAAAUGCACAUAUUGUGAGCUCGAUGAGUAGGGCGGGACACGUGGUAUCCUGUCUGAAUAUGGGGGGACCAUCCUCCAAGGCUAAAUACUCCUGACUGACCGAUAGUGAACCAGUACCGUGAGGGAAAGGCGAAAAGAACCCCGGCGAGGGGAGUGAAAAAGAACCUGAAACCGUGUACGUACAAGCAGUGGGAGCCUCUUUAUGGGGUGACUGCGUACCUUUUGUAUAAUGGGUCAGCGACUUAUAUUCUGUAGCAAGGUUAACCGAAUAGGGGAGCCGAAGGGAAACCGAGUCUUAACUGGGCGUUAAGUUGCAGGGUAUAGACCCGAAACCCGGUGAUCUAGCCAUGGGCAGGUUGAAGGUUGGGUAACACUAACUGGAGGACCGAACCGACUAAUGUUGAAAAAUUAGCGGAUGACUUGUGGCUGGGGGUGAAAGGCCAAUCAAACCGGGAGAUAGCUGGUUCUCCCCGAAAGCUAUUUAGGUAGCGCCUCGUGAAUUCAUCUCCGGGGGUAGAGCACUGUUUCGGCAAGGGGGUCAUCCCGACUUACCAACCCGAUGCAAACUGCGAAUACCGGAGAAUGUUAUCACGGGAGACACACGGCGGGUGCUAACGUCCGUCGUGAAGAGGGAAACAACCCAGACCGCCAGCUAAGGUCCCAAAGUCAUGGUUAAGUGGGAAACGAUGUGGGAAGGCCCAGACAGCCAGGAUGUUGGCUUAGAAGCAGCCAUCAUUUAAAGAAAGCGUAAUAGCUCACUGGUCGAGUCGGCCUGCGCGGAAGAUGUAACGGGGCUAAACCAUGCACCGAAGCUGCGGCAGCGACACUAUGUGUUGUUGGGUAGGGGAGCGUUCUGUAAGCCUGUGAAGGUGGCCUGUGAGGGUUGCUGGAGGUAUCAGAAGUGCGAAUGCUGACAUAAGUAACGAUAAAGCGGGUGAAAAGCCCGCUCGCCGGAAGACCAAGGGUUCCUGUCCAACGUUAAUCGGGGCAGGGUGAGUCGACCCCUAAGGCGAGGCCGAAAGGCGUAGUCGAUGGGAAACAGGUUAAUAUUCCUGUACUUGGUGUUACUGCGAAGGGGGGACGGAGAAGGCUAUGUUGGCCGGGCGACGGUUGUCCCGGUUUAAGCGUGUAGGCUGGUUUUCCAGGCAAAUCCGGAAAACCAAGGCUGAGGCGUGAUGACGAGGCACUACGGUGCUGAAGCGACAAAUGCCCUGCUUCCAGGAAAAGCCUCUAAGCAUCAGGUAACAUCAAAUCGUACCCCAAACCGACACAGGUGGUCAGGUAGAGAAUACCAAGGCGCUUGAGAGAACUCGGGUGAAGGAACUAGGCAAAAUGGUGCCGUAACUUCGGGAGAAGGCACGCUGAUAUGUAGGUGAAGCGACUUGCUCGUGGAGCUGAAAUCAGUCGAAGAUACCAGCUGGCUGCAACUGUUUAUUAAAAACACAGCACUGUGCAAACACGAAAGUGGACGUAUACGGUGUGACGCCUGCCCGGUGCCGGAAGGUUAAUUGAUGGGGUUAGCGGUAACGCGAAGCUCUUGAUCGAAGCCCCGGUAAACGGCGGCCGUAACUAUAACGGUCCUAAGGUAGCGAAAUUCCUUGUCGGGUAAGUUCCGACCUGCACGAAUGGCGUAAUGAUGGCCAGGCUGUCUCCACCCGAGACUCAGUGAAAUUGAACUCGCUGUGAAGAUGCAGUGUACCCGCGGCAAGACGGAAAGACCCCGUGAACCUUUACUAUAGCUUGACACUGAACAUUGAGCCUUGAUGUGUAGGAUAGGUGGGAGGCUUUGAAGUGUGGACGCCAGUCUGCAUGGAGCCGACCUUGAAAUACCACCCUUUAAUGUUUGAUGUUCUAACGUUGGCCCGUAAUCCGGGUUGCGGACAGUGUCUGGUGGGUAGUUUGACUGGGGCGGUCUCCUCCUAAAGAGUAACGGAGGAGCACGAAGGUUGGCUAAUCCUGGUCGGACAUCAGGAGGUUAGUGCAAUGGCAUAAGCCAGCUUGACUGCGAGCGUGACGGCGCGAGCAGGUGCGAAAGCAGGUCAUAGUGAUCCGGUGGUUCUGAAUGGAAGGGCCAUCGCUCAACGGAUAAAAGGUACUCCGGGGAUAACAGGCUGAUACCGCCCAAGAGUUCAUAUCGACGGCGGUGUUUGGCACCUCGAUGUCGGCUCAUCACAUCCUGGGGCUGAAGUAGGUCCCAAGGGUAUGGCUGUUCGCCAUUUAAAGUGGUACGCGAGCUGGGUUUAGAACGUCGUGAGACAGUUCGGUCCCUAUCUGCCGUGGGCGCUGGAGAACUGAGGGGGGCUGCUCCUAGUACGAGAGGACCGGAGUGGACGCAUCACUGGUGUUCGGGUUGUCAUGCCAAUGGCACUGCCCGGUAGCUAAAUGCGGAAGAGAUAAGUGCUGAAAGCAUCUAAGCACGAAACUUGCCCCGAGAUGAGUUCUCCCUGACUCCUUGAGAGUCCUGAAGGAACGUUGAAGACGACGACGUUGAUAGGCCGGGUGUGUAAGCGCAGCGAUGCGUUGAGCUAACCGGUACUAAUGAACCGUGAGGCUUAACCUU
rnacentral:rRNA from 1 species